GUUGUGAGCAUUUGUGUGCCUCUGCUGUAUGAGGAGAGGGUGAUAUCAUGGUUCUGCCCUUUACUAAAUCAGGUUUCCUUCCUGCUUUAAGCCUUUUCCAGGGAUACAGAGCAGGCAGUUCCUGUGACCUGAUGUGAGGGAAACCUUAUUCCUGUGAGUGGCCCCAUGAGGAAACAAUUGAAGUCUUUCAUUCCAUUUGGAAGAUUUUUGUUUCUUUGAAGAAUGCUGUCUUGAAACCAGGAGUAGUCUUUUCGCAGAUCUAAGACAAAGUGAACUCCAUUGGUAUCCUGAUCCCAGGAGCAGAACAAAGCAAGGACACUCACUGGUGCUCCCUCUACUUGACCAUCAGCUGACAGCAUUCCCUGAUCCCUAAGUAGAAACGACACAGAAGAAAAGAACUCA